rfam:Callicebus moloch clone LB5-202I8, complete sequence.
CAGUUCUGCUACCAAUUGGAGUUGGGCUGUUGGAAUGAUCUCCACUGCCUACCACCAGGCAAAGGGGAGCGGU